rnacentral:rRNA from 1 species
UGAGGGAAAGUUGAAAAGUACUCUGAAUAGAGAGUUAAAUAGUACGUGAAACCGCUUAGGGGUUAAGCCCGAUGAACCCGAAUAUCUGAUGUGAGAAAUUCAAUACUGUUCAUACAACGGAUAGUAUGCACUUUUCUCAUAGUAAGACAUUGUAAUCCAUUGAUACUAUAUCUCUUUCACAUACGGGAGAGAUGAUUUAACAUACGGACAAAAUGUAUAAGAUUAUUCUAUCAGUGAUGUGUUUACAUGUCAUAUGAAUAAGAUCGUUUUGUACCUGUUUAAAUAGUCGAUGGAUUUUAACUGAAUCAUGCUUGCAAUUCAUUUUGCGUUUCGUGUUAUCGGCCAUUCGGUUGGUAAUAGCAGAAAUGGCAUGCAUUCGAUUAACAAUGCGAUAGAUUUGGGAUACUUUCAGGACCCGUCUUGA